rnacentral:rRNA from 1 species
AUUGAACGCUGGCGGCAUGCCUUACACAUGCAAGUCGAACGGCAGCGGGGGAGAAGCUUGCUUUUCCUGCCGGCGAGUGGCGAACGGGUGAGUAAUACAUCGGAACGUGCCCUGUAGUGGGGGAUAACUAAUCGAAAGAUUAGCUAAUACCGCAUACGACCUGAGGGUGAAAGUGGGGGACCGCAAGGCCUCAUGCUAUAGGAGCGGCCGAUGUCUGAUUAGCUAGUUGGUGGGGUAAAGGCCUACCAAGGCGACGAUCAGUAGCUGGUCUGGGAGGACGAUCAGCCACACUUGGACUGAGACACGGCCCAGACUCCUACGGGAGGCAGCAGUGGGGAAUUUUGGACAAUGGGCGAAAGCCUGAUCCGGCAAUGCCGCGUGUGUGAAGAAGGCCUUCGGGUUGUAAAGCACUUUUGUCCGGAAAGAAAUGGCUCUGGUUAAUACCUGGGGUCGAUGACGGUACCGGAAGAAUAAGGACCGGCUAACUACGUGCCAGCCGCCGCCGUAA